GUGGUUUCGGCAGCACAUACACUAAAAUUGGAACGACACAGAGAUUAGCAUGGCCCCUGCACAAGCAUAACAAUAUUUUUUUUUAAAGUGUGGUUCAGUAAG
rnacentral:snRNA from 1 species